rnacentral:rRNA from 1 species
AGAUGACGGUUUGGAACUUGGUUUUUUUGGGACAAUUACAAGGUGCUGCAUGGUUGUCGUCAGCUCGUGCCGUGAGGUGUCAGGUUAAGUCCUAUAACGAGCGCAACCCCUAUUGUUAGUUACCAGCGCGUAAUGGCGGGGACUCUAGCAAGACUGCCGGUGCAAACCGUGAGGAAGGUGGGGAUGACGUCAAAUCAUCACGGCCCUUACGUCCUGGGCUACACACGUGCUACAAUGGCAAGUACAGAAAGCAGCUACCUGGCAACAGGAUGCGAAUCUCCAAAGCUUGUCUCAGUUCGGAUUGGAGUCUGCAACUCGACUCUAUGAAGCUGGAAUCGCUAGUAAUCGGAUAUCAGCCAUGAUCCGGUGAAUACGUUCCCGGGCCUUGUACACACCGCCCGUCAAGCCAUGGAAGCUGGGGGUACCUGAAGUCGGUGACCGCAAGGAG